rnacentral:lncRNA from 1 species
CGGAUUCUCGUUGCAUUCGGAUUUUUAGUUCAGGAUCAUCCGGCUGAAUCCAUAAUAGCUUCCGUACCUCCGCCACUUGGGCAGUGGAGAUAGUGGAACGAGGAAAAUGACAACCUUGGCACGUCAUAUCAUCCGCUUCAUUUAUUUGUUGUUGCCGGGCACCCACGGUGGCCAUGGCAAAUACACGAAAAAAAAAAACCCCCCAACAAAAACAAACAAACACAACAACACAACCGAAAGAAGCGAACAAGUUGGCGGGGAUAAUGGAGGAAGGGAGGACCUAACCUGGUAAGAAGAGUAAUGGUCGUAUGGGGAGCUUAACGAGAAAUCGAAGACGGCGGGAGAUCGGAGAAACCAGAGAAGACCGAAAGAAAAACUCUGAGGAGGGAGGAAGAAGAAGAAGAAAAUGAAGAGGCAGAGAUAUUUAUAGGGGAGGAAUUUGAAUCGAAGGAAAGGGGGGAGAAUAAUUAUUAGGGUUGGGAAAUGUGAAAGGAAAAUGGAAGGUCGGGAUUUCACCCCAAAACGGCGGAUAAAGAUGGAGGACCGAGAUCUCA